rnacentral:rRNA from 1 species
AACGAACGCUGGCGGCAGGCUUAACACAUGCAAGUCGAACGCAUCGCAAGAUGAGUGGCAGACGGGUGAGUAACACGUGGGAAUCUACCCAUCCCUGCGGAACAACUCCGGGAAACUGGAGCUAAUACCGCAUACGCCCUUAGGGGGAAAGAUUUAUCGGGGAUGGAUGAGCCCGCGUUGGAUUAGCUAGUUGGUGGGGUAAAGGCCUACCAAGGCGACGAUCCAUAGCUGGUCUGAGAGGAUGAUCAGCCACAUUGGGACUGAGACACGGCCCAAACUCCUACGGGAGGCAGCAGUGGGGAAUAUUGGACAAUGGGCGCAAGCCUGAUCCAGCCAUGCCGCGUGAGUGAUGAAGGCCUUAGGGUUGUAAAGCUCUUUCACCGGAGAAGAUAAUGACGGUAUCCGGAGAAGAAGCCCCGGCUAACUUCGUGCCAGCCGCCGCGGUAAUAC